GAUGAACGCUGGCGGCGUGCCUAAUACAUGCAAGUCGAGCGAACGGACGAGAAGCUUGCUUCUCUGAUGUUAGCGGCGGACGGGUGAGUAACACGUGGAUAACCUACCUAUAAGACUGGGAUAACUUCGGGAAACCGGAGCUAAUACCGGAUAAUAUUUUGAACCGCAUGGCUCAAAAGUGAAAGACGGUCUUGCUGUCACUUAUAGAUGGAUCCGCGCUGCAUUAGCUAGUUGGUAAGGUAACGGCUUACCAAGGCAACGAUGCAUAGCCGACCUGAGAGGGUGAUCGGCCACACUGGAACUGAGACACGGUCCAGACUCCUACGGGAGGCAGCAGUAGGGAAUCUUCCGCAAUGGGCGAAAGCCUGACGGAGCAACGCCGCGUGAGUGAUGAAGGUCUUCGGAUCGUAAAACUCUGUUAUUAGGGAAGAACAUAUGUGUAAGUAACUGUGCACAUCUUGACGGUACCUAAUCAGAAAGCCACGGCUAACUACGUGCCAGCAGCCGCGGUAAUACGUAGGUGGCAAGCGUUAUCCGGAAUUAUUGGGCGUAAAGCGCGCGUAGGCGGUUUUUUAAGUCUGAUGUGAAAGCCCACGGCUCAACCGUGGAGGGUCAUUGGAAACUGGAAAACUUGAGUGCAGAAGAGGAAAGUGGAAUUCCAUGUGUAGCGGUGAAAUGCGCAGAGAUAUGGAGGAACACCAGUGGCGAAGGCGACUUUCUGGUCUGUAACUGACGCUGAUGUGCGAAAGCGUGGGGAUCAAACAGGAUUAGAUACCCUGGUAGUCCACGCCGUAAACGAUGAGUGCUAAGUGUUAGGGGGUUUCCGCCCCUUAGUGCUGCAGCUAACGCAUUAAGCACUCCGCCUGGGGAGUACGACCGCAAGGUUGAAACUCAAAGGAAUUGACGGGGACCCGCACAAGCGGUGGAGCAUGUGGUUUAAUUCGAAGCAACGCGAAGAACCUUACCAAAUCUUGACAUCCUUUGACAACUCUAGAGAUAGAGCCUUCCCCUUCGGGGGACAAAGUGACAGGUGGUGCAUGGUUGUCGUCAGCUCGUGUCGUGAGAUGUUGGGUUAAGUCCCGCAACGAGCGCAACCCUUAAGCUUAGUUGCCAUCAUUAAGUUGGGCACUCUAAGUUGACUGCCGGUGACAAACCGGAGGAAGGUGGGGAUGACGUCAAAUCAUCAUGCCCCUUAUGAUUUGGGCUACACACGUGCUACAAUGGACAAUACAAAGGGCAGCGAAACCGCGAGGUCAAGCAAAUCCCAUAAAGUUGUUCUCAGUUCGGAUUGUAGUCUGCAACUCGACUACAUGAAGCUGGAAUCGCUAGUAAUUGUAGAUCAGCAUGCUACGGUGAAUACGUUCCCGGGUCU
rnacentral:rRNA from 1 species